UUCUCUAUUGGAGUAACAAACGGAGAGGAAGAGAGCUUCAAAACCUUGUUUCUUGAUUUAAUUUCAUGGGGGUUUGCUUGAGCGCCCAAAUUAAAGCUGAGAGCCCAUGUAACACAGGGCUGAGUUCAAAAUAUGUUAGCACAGAUGGGAAUGAUCAUAGCACAAGUAGCAAGGUCUCAUCCUCUCCGUUUGUUACUCCAAUAGAGAA
rnacentral:misc_RNA from 1 species